GUGUUCGUUUAAGGAGAGAUGGUUGGCAUCUCCCCUUAUAGGGACCGGAAAAGCCAGCCUUGAGGUGGAUAGCGGUUACCGAAUACUCGCGGUUAAGGCUAUCCACCUCUUUGAGGUGGAUCUAACACAAUUUUUU
rnacentral:ncRNA from 1 species